ACACUCCUACGGGAGGCAGCAGUGGGGAAUUUUGGACAAUGGGCGAAAGCCUGAUCCAGCCAUGCCGCGUGCAGGAUGAAGGCCUUCGGGUUGUAAACUGCUUUUGUACGGAACGAAACGGCCUUUUCUAAUAAAGAGGGCUAAUGACGGUACCGUAAGAAUAAGCACCGGCUAACUACGUGCCAGCAGCCGCGGUAAUACGUAGGGUGCAAGCGUUAAUCGGAAUUACUGGGCGUAAAGCGUGCGCAGGCGGUUAUGUAAGACAGUUGUGAAAUCCCCGGGCUCAACCUGGGAACUGCAUCUGUGACUACAUAGCUAGAGUACGGUAGAGGGGGAUGGAAUUCCGCGUGUAGCAGUGAAAUGCGUAGAUAUGCGGAGGAACACCGAUGGCGAAGGCAAUCCCCUGGACCUGUACUGACGCUCAUGCACGAAAGCGUCAGGAGCAAACAGGAUUAGAAACCCGUGUAGUGC
rnacentral:rRNA from 1 species